rnacentral:tRNA from 1 species
CGAAAUUGGUCGACGCUACGGACUUAAGAAAAUCCGUCGACUUUAAAAAUCGUGAGGGUUCAAGUCCCUCUAUCCCCA